UGUUAAUUAUAAAAUUGUCUCCUACAAUCCAGUUUCUGUAAGAUUAUCAAAUAAAAAGUUGGCACUCAGAAGAACUUUUAAAACAUUGCAGUGUUACCGUAGCUACAUAACACAAAGAAACAAAUUAUUCGUAAUUUGUUUUAAAAUGUUGAUCUCCUUGGUGAUAUAACAAGUGAAAUAUUUCGUAAUUUGUUUCCAAAAGUUGAUCUCCUUGGUGAUAUCAUAACAAGUGAAAUACUUCAUAAUUUGAUUUCAAAAGUUGAUCUCCUUGAUGCAAUCAUAAUAAGUCAAAUUUGAUUUAAUCUGUGCACGAAAAAUGGCUAAAAAGGAGAAGAUGUAUCCGUACACACAAACUAUCGACGAGAUGAUAGAGACAGCUAAGGCUUUACAGAAGCAUAUCGAAGAGGUGAAGGCUAAAGCAAAGCAGAUUUUGAAGCAGGUCGAACAAAUAAACUGCAGCAAGGAGAAACCGACGACCCCUAAAUAAAACAUUUACAUAUACCUAAUAAAGACAAUGAUUGUUCUUACUGUUCUAAGGUUUUCUCAAUAAAUUUAUAAAAUAAA